AUUGAACGCUGGCGGCGUGCUUAACACAUGCAAGUCGAGCGGUAACAGGCGUAGCAAUACGUGCUGACGAGCGGCGAACGGGUGCGUAAUACAUGGGAAUCUGCCCUUUGGUGGGGAAUAACCCGGCGAAAGCCGGGCUAAUGCCGCAUGAGAUCUGCGGAUGAAAGCGGGGGAUCGUAAGACCUCGCGCCGAUGGAUGAGCCCAUGUCGGAUGAGCUAGUUGGUGAGGUAACGGCUCACCAAGGCGACGAUCCGUAGCUGGUCUUGAGAGGACGGCCAGCCACACUGGGACUGAGACACGGCCCAGACUCCUACGGGAGGCAGCAGUGGGGAAUAUUGGACAAUGGGCGAAAGCCUGAUCCAGCGACGCCGCGUGUGUGAAGAAGGCCUGCGGGUUGUAAAGCACUUUCGAUGGGAACGAAAUGUGCCGGGCUAAUACCCCGGCAAGCUGACGUUACUCAAUGAAGAAGCACCGGCUAACUCUGUGCCAGCAGCCGCCGUAAAAC
rnacentral:rRNA from 1 species